AGAGUUUGAUCCUGGCUCAGGAUGAACGCUGGCGGCGUGCCUAAUACAUGCAAGUCGAGCGAACGGACGAGAAGCUUGCUUCUCUGAUGUUAGCGGCGGACGGGUGAGUAACACGUGGAUAACCUACCUAUAAGACUGGGAUAACUUCGGGAAACCGGAGCUAAUACCGGAUAAUAUUUUGAACCGCAUGGUUCAAAAGUGAAAGACGGUCUUGCUGUCACUUAUAGAUGGAUCCGCGCUGCAUUAGCUAGUUGGUAAGGUAACGGCUUACCAAGGCAACGAUGCAUAGCCGACCUGAGAGGGUGAUCGGCCACACUGGAACUGAGACACGGUCCAGACUCCUACGGGAGGCAGCAGUAGGGAAUCUUCCGCAAUGGGCGAAAGCCUGACGGAGCAACGCCGCGUGAGUGAUGAAGGUCUUCGGAUCGUAAAACUCUGUUAUUAGGGAAGAACAUAUGUGUAAGUAACUGUGCACAUCUUGACGGUACCUAAUCAGAAAGCCACGGCUAACUACGUGCCAGCAGCCGCGGUAAUACGUAGGUGGCAAGCGUUAUCCGGAAUUAUUGGGCGUAAAGCGCGCGUAGGCGGUUUUUUAAGUCUGAUGUGAAAGCCCACGGCUCAACCGUGGAGGGUCAUUGGAAACUGGAAAACUUGAGUGCAGAAGAGGAAAGUGGAAUUCCAUGUGUAGCGGUGAAAUGCGCAGAGAUAUGGAGGAACACCAGUGGCGAAGGCGACUUUCUGGUCUGUAACUGACGCUGAUGUGCGAAAGCGUGGGGAUCAAACAGGAUUAGAUACCCUGGUAGUCCACGCCGUAAACGAUGAGUGCUAAGUGUUAGGGGGUUUCCGCCCCUUAGUGCUGCAGCUAACGCAUUAAGCACUCCGCCUGGGGAGUACGACCGCAAGGUUGAAACUCAAAGGAAUUGACGGGGACCCGCACAAGCGGUGGAGCAUGUGGUUUAAUUCGAAGCAACGCGAAGAACCUUACCAAAUCUUGACAUCCUUUGACAACUCUAGAGAUAGAGCCUUCCUCUUCGGGGGACAAAGUGACAGGUGGUGCAUGGUUGUCGUCAGCUCGUGUCGUGAGAUGUUGGGUUAAGUCCCGCAACGAGCGCAACCCUUAAGCUUAGUUGCCAUCAUUAAGUUGGGCACUCUAAGUUGACUGCCGGUGACAAACCGGAGGAAGGUGGGGAUGACGUCAAAUCAUCAUGCCCCUUAUGAUUUGGGCUACACACGUGCUACAAUGGACAAUACAAAGGGCAGCGAAACCGCGAGGUCAAGCAAAUCCCAUAAAGUUGUUCUCAGUUCGGAUUGUAGUCUGCAACUCGACUACAUGAAGCUGGAAUCGCUAGUAAUCGUAGAUCAGC
rnacentral:rRNA from 1 species